GAAAAUACAUCGAUACAUAAUCACGAAUAGAAUUAGCAUAGAAUAUAAAUCUAUUUCAAAAUCUAAACUCUAAACAUUGUAUGUAUAUGUUAAUAGUAAACCACACUUUACAAAUCCAAUUCAUCUUUUGUGGUUGUUUUCUUAUCCACAAUUUUUACUUUUCUUAGUAAAUCAUAAAUCACACUAUCAACUUGAUUCAGAUCCUUUGUAAUUUUACUAGACAUGCUUCAAAUUUUACUAGACAUAGUUCAAAUCUUAUCUAAAAUCAUUGAUGAUGUUUGUUUACUAUCUAAUAUCUAUACUGAGAAUCAAGCCCUUCCAUUCUACCACAAACAAUUCUAUGAAACACUUCCCUAAUUUGUUUUUCCAAAGGAUUCAAUCCAUCUUUCAAACCUUCACAAACAUUCACAACAUCUUCCACUUUAACUCUAACUUCAUCUUCUUUAUCCUCACUCAAAGGAAACUCCAAAGAAUCAGCCAAAUCAUUCAUCACCCUAGCACACUUU
rnacentral:lncRNA from 1 species